AGGCUGCAGCGAGUCAUGAUCAUGCCACUGCACUCCAGCCUGCACAACAGAGCAAGGCCCUGUCUCAAGAAACAACAAAAAAAUAAUUUAACUUAAGGUGAUGUCUUGACUGCAGUAUUUAUUCUACUUUUUAAAGCCAUUAUGGUGGGAAAACAAUAGUUUAUGGUAAAGGCUGAAGAAACUGGGAAAUAUUUUAUCUUUAACUCAAAACAGGAUGGUGAUACGCAACAGUUUUAGGCAAAAAAAAUUUACAUUUAAGAAAAAAAGUAUCAUUUAAUCUCAUUAGGCAGAAGUGGAGCCACAAGCAAAAACAGGGCUGGUUAUGGACGUAGGUUUCCCUUUCUGUUCAUAUGUUGAAACCUAAUUCCCAAUGUGAUGGGUUUUGGAGAUGGGGUCUUUGGGAGGUAAUAGGUCAUGAGGGUGGAACCCUCAUGGAUGGGAUUAGUGCCAUAUAAGAAGAGUCCAGAGAGCUAGCUCACUCCCUUUCUGCCAUGUAAGGAUACAAGAAGUCGGCCUGGAAAAGAACCCUCACCAGAACCCUACACUGGCACUCUGAUCUUGGACUUUCAGCCUCCGGAGCUGUGAGAAAUAAAUUGUCUUUAAGUCUUCCAGUUUAUGGUACUUUGUUAUACCGGCCCAAACUGACUGAAGAUGGGGUCCUAGCAAGCAAAAUCAUAGCUGUGAAGAGUGUAAUAGUAUCUCAUCAGCAUGGGGAGGGCUAUAGGCAAAACAUGCACUAGUCUAGCUACUUAAUCUUCAAGUAUUAAGGACAACCUGUCCUUUUUAUACAAGUCAUACAUUAGACAUGUGCCUAAGAUUGCAAAACACUGUGAUUGAGUUUUGAAGGCUAGGGAUACACCUCAAACUCAGAUGUACUUCUUUCGUGCCUAUUUGUAAGUCAGCAAAAUCCAGAAUUCAACAAUAUGUUAAUUAAUGUAUUAAUACGAAAAUAUUUUUGUGCAUUAUAUUUUCUGCAUUUUAGAUCUUUGUGUGCCAUGGAAUAUUUGAUGAUUUUUGGCUUUACUUAGGUUAAGUCAACCAAAGCAUUUUGAAAUGCUGCUUUUUUUUUUUAAUUCACAUGUAUUUGUGGGUUUUUGUUUUUGUUAUUAUUGUUGUUUGAGACAGGGUCUUACUCUGUCACGCAGGCUGGAGUGCAGUGUCACAAUCACGGCUCACUGCAGCCUCAACCUCCCAGGCUCGGGUGAUCCUCCCACCUCAGCCUCCUGAGCAGCUGAGAUUAUAGGUGCCCACCCCCAUGCCCAUCUCCUUUUUGUAUUUUUAGUGGAGACGGAGUCUCACCAUGUUGCCCAGGCUGGUCUCGAACUCCUGGGCUCAAGUGAUCUGCCCUCCUCGACUUCCCAAAGUGCUAGGAUUACAGGUGUGAGCCACCACACCAGGCCUAAAUCCACAUGUAUUUGUAAUAGUUUUGCCAUUGUUUAGACAGGCAGUUUUUAGAUUUUUUAAAGUAAUAGAAGAAGCCUUUCUUCCAACUAAAUCUUAUGUGGAAGUCUGAUAUGCAGCAAUUACGUUAGGCAGUCAUAGAGGACUGGCCAUUUAUAAAAAAUAUACCCUUGUUUUAAAUCUUUGUUUCUUGUAUUUAGUCUUGAAGUUCCAUGUUUUAUGACUAUGUAUUCUGUUUAUUUUAUAGCAUGUUAGUAAAAUGAAAGGAAUUUACAUGGAUGGGGAUGAUAAAGAUGCUUACUGACCUAUUAUAGGGCCUGUGCUUGGAGUUGCUUUUCAGUAAUGGGAUUGGAUUUAUAAGAAUCCAGGAGUGUCCUGAGAGGUCAGAUUGCAGUCAGGGACAAUAAUUAAAAAUUGGUUGAAAAACACUGCGUUAGAAGCUGCCUGUAUGUUUCUGUGAUUCCAUCUCCUCCACCAAGAGACAUGGCCUAUGGACAUGAACAUGAACAUGGACACCAUAAAAUGGAACUUCCAGAUUAUAGACAAUGGAAGAUAGAAGGGACACCAUUAGAAGAUAUCCAGAAGAAGCUGGCUGCAAAAGGGCUAAGGGAUCCAUGGGCCGCAAUGAAGCUUGGAGAUACAUGGGCGGCUUUGCAAAGCCUGUUUCCUUUUUUUGAUGUAUUCUUUAAAGGAUUCAAAUGGGGAUUUGCUGCAUUUGUGGUAGCUGUAGGAGCUGAAUAUUGCCUGAAUUCCCUGAAUAAAGAUAAGAAGCAUCACUGAAGAUAAUACCUGGAAGUAUCAUAGUGGUUUCUUAACUCUCCAAAAUAAGAUUUCUUCACUAUAGCCUACUCGUCUGGUUUGU